AGCAGUGUAUCCAAGUGGUCAAAGGAGAUGGUUUGCAAAACCAUUACUCAUGGGUUCAAAUCCCAUCACUGCUUCCA
rnacentral:tRNA from 1 species